GUUCUUCUGAAAACGGUUG
rnacentral:misc_RNA from 1 species